rnacentral:rRNA from 1 species
AGCGAACGUUAGCGGCGGGCUUAACACAUGCAAGUCGAGCGAGAAAGGGGCUUCGGCCCUGAGUACAGCGGCGGACGGGUGAAUAACACGUAGGUAACCUUCCUUCCAGCGGGGGACAACGGUCCGAAAGGACCGCUAAUACCGCAUACGUUCCCUGGGACCCUGGUCCCGGGGAGGAAAGCUCCGCAAGGGGCACUGGAUGAGGGGCCUGCGUAGCAUCAGCUAGUUGGUGGGGUAAUGGCCUACCAAGGCUAAGACGCUUAGCUGGUCUGAGAGGAUGAUCAGCCACACUGGGACUGAGACACGGCCCAGACUCCUACGGGAGGCAGCAGUGGGGAAUAUUGGACAAUGGGCGCAAGCCUAAUCCAGCCACGCCGCGUGAGUGAUGAAGGCC